rnacentral:tRNA from 1 species
UAGAAUUUGGUGUAAUUGGGAGCACGAAGAGUUUUGGAUUCUUAGGAGUAGGUU